UUCCGGGUGGUGUAGCGGUAACACAUCUCCCUUUGGAGGAGAGGUCCUAGGUUCGAUCCCUAGCCCGGAAGCCA
rnacentral:tRNA from 1 species